rnacentral:rRNA from 1 species
UACGUAGGUGGCAAGCGUUGUUCGGAAUUACUGGGCGUAAAGGGCGCGUAGGCGGGAUGGCAAGUCGGUCGUGAAAUCCCUCGGCUCAACUGAGGAUCGUCGAUCGAUACUGCCGUUCUUGAGGAUUGCAGAGGAGACUGGAAUUCCCGGUGUAGCGGUGAAAUGUGUAGAGAUCGGGAGGAACACCGGUGGCGAAGGCGGGUCUCUGGGCAAUUCCUGACGCUGAGGCGCGAAAGCCAGGGGAGCAAACGGG